CGGGGGGCUGCCUACACAUGCAAGUCGAACGGCAGCACGGGCUUCGGCCUGGUGGCGAGUGGCGGACGGGUGAGUAAAGCGUAGGAACCUAUCCUUUUGUGGGGGACAACCCAGGGAAACUUGGGCUAAUACCGCAUAAGUCCUGAGGGAGAAAGCGGGGGAUCUUCGGACCUCGUGCUGAAGGAGGGGCCUACGUCCGAUUAGCUAGUUGGUAGGGUAAAGGCCUACCAAGGCGACGAUCGGUAGCUGGUCUGAGAGGACGACCAGCCACACUGGGACUGAGACACGGCCCAGACUCCUACGGGAGGCAGCAGUGGGGAAUUUUUCGCAAUGGGGGCAACCCUGACGAAGCAAUGCCGCGUGAAUGAAGAAGGCCUUCGGGUUGUAAAGUUCUUUCGUGGAGGACGAAAAGGUGGGUGCUAAUAUCGCCUGCUGUUGACGUGAAUCCAAGAAGAAGCACCGGCUAACUCCGUGCCAGCAGCCGCGGUAAUACGGGGGGUGCAAGCGUUAAUCGGAAUCACUGGGCGUAAAGGGUGCGUAGGCGGUGCAUUAGGUCUGUCGUGAAAUCCCCGGGCUCAACCUGGGAAUGGCGGUGGAAACCGGUGUACUAGAGUAUGGGAGAGGGUGGUGGAAUUCCAGGUGUAGCGGUGAAAUGCGUAGAGAUCUGGAGGAACAUCAGUGGCGAAGGCGGCCACCUGGCCCAAUACUGACGCUGAGGCACGAAAGCGUGGGG
rnacentral:rRNA from 1 species